GGCCAAAGUUUUUGACAUUCAUAUGACACGCGGUGGGGCCCAAAUUUUGUGAAUGUACAGAAGGGUGAUAUUGUCAUUUACCCUUUAAAUUAAACGCUGCGUUUUAUUUAGGGUGCUCUCUGUAUUCAGUUUUCCAGUUUGUCUGAUUUCACAUUUUGGAAGAGCUCUUCGUGCUUUGCUAGGGUUGGGGGUGAUAGAGAAGCGGAGAAGUGGAAGAGCGUGCUGUGGUAGGGUUCGGUUGAUAGAGAAGGCGAGAACUCCAUGGGUGCCACUUAAUCGGAGGGUGUGGCUGCACUUGUUCCUAAAGGUGAUGUUGAUGGUGAAAUGGGUGAUGCUCACAUGAAUUGAUGAGUCAGGCACUUAGAAAAUUGAGGCAUGCCUUAUCACAGACAUAACAUAUCUCUUUUCCAUCCUUUUUUUCAAGUCAAAGCAUAGAUAUAGUUGGAACAGUCAUUAUGGAAGAACA